rnacentral:sRNA from 1 species
GCUGGGUGCAGUGGUGCAUGCCUGUAAUCCCAGUGGCUCCGGAGGCUGAGACAGGAGGAUCGUGAGUUCAGGGCCAGCCUUACUAAAAGUAACUAAGCAACUCAGUGAGACCCUGUCUCUA